AAAAUACUCCCUCCGUCCGGAAAUACUUGUCGUAGAAAUGGAUAUAAAUGGAUGCAUCUAAAACUAAAAUACAUCUAGAUACAUCCAUUUCUCCCACAAGUAUUUCCAGACGGAGGGGGUAAGUG
rfam:Triticum aestivum genome assembly, contig: Triticum_aestivum_CS42_TGACv1_scaffold_222569_3B